UUGCGUUUCAAACUUGGCUGCCUUGUAAAGUUGCAAUCCGAAACACUGGACGGAGGAACGCCAAAGUGUGCAAAUUUGCGUUUCAAACUUGGCUGCCUUGUAAAGUUGCAAUCCGAAACACUGGACGGAGGAACGCCAUCGUGUGCAGAUUUGCGUUUCAAACUUGGCUGCCUUGUAAAGUUGCAAUCCGAAACACUGGACGGAGGAACGCCAAAGUGUGCAGAUUUGCGUUUCAAACUUGGCUGCCUUGUAAAGUUGCAUUCCGAAACACUGGACGGAGGAACGCCAAAAUGUGCAGAUUUGCGUUU
rnacentral:lncRNA from 1 species